GCAUUUACAUUGUUUGGGACCUAUAUCAGUUAGACUGACUGCAAACUUUAUAAAAUUAAUCAAUGCAAAAGUUGCGCCUGUAUGGACGAUAAGUGCGGUACUACACUAAGAGAAAAUCAAAAUGUUGUUAUCGUCUCUUUAGUCUCAUAUAUGCAGCGGUUCAAAUAAAUGGUGCGGGCUUUUCGUCUAAUAGAAUACAAACAAGGGAGGAAAAAGAUUGGUGUGUUGUACACUUAAAUAUAUUGACAUUGACGUGCUUACAAAUUUUAGGCGCUAUAUUUCUUACAGUCGGUUUUUGCUGUGUAAGUUUGUGGCAAGUUUUAAUUAACUCCUCCUCGUACCAUAUAGCUUGAUCAGAAGAGCAACAGUCGAUAUUGCCAUGCAUGUCGGCUAGUUUUUGUUAAUGUUAGAUAUCUAUACAGAUAUCGUAUCUGCCUCAUCACAAAGCUCUAUCGGAAUAAUCGAGGGUAUUUAAGCUACGGCAUGCCGUAGUUAGCAGUUCUUUCUGGUUAACCUUCUCUUGUCAUUACCCAGAAACUAAAAUUCAGAUUGUUUUAUACAGAUAGAAGAUUAUUUAGUUUUAUACAGGUAAAAGAAUCUCAGGUGGAAGACUGCAUUGCGCAAAUCGGUUCAAACCAAUACGUCGGGCUCGGGUUCGCGGCUUUGCUCAACAUUUUUCAAGAAUUACGAGUAAAAUUCCCACUGAGAGUUUAGCAAGAAAGGCCAGUUCUCGGAAAGAUUAUGGCAUAUUGGAAGCGGGUUAACUAUGAAAAGGCUUGGCGAAUUUGUCUUCAAUUGGGUUUUCGUAAAUAUUAUUAUCCUACAAGAGAUGAACAAUAUUUUGUAAAGUAGGCGAACGUUUGAGACUUCACCAAUUUUCAAUAAGCACGCAAAUGCUUAGCAUUUACGCAUUAUAGAAAAAAUAGCCGACCCUAACUCGACAAUAACCGGAUUCAAACAGAGAUCAAAAUUUUUCCGUUUAAAAUGUGCCAAUGCAAAACGUGUGAAUAUUUGGAUACGUGCUGUUGUUCAACAUUGAAAUCAAAACAAAUUGUUUUUAUCUUCUGGACAGUUACACAUUCCCUAUUGUCUUUCCUACUAUCACAUAUGAUAGCCUGCGGGUUCCUCAAAGAAACGCAUUUGGUUAUCUACGCAUAUUUUGUAAUAUCCGUCGUACAUUUACUAGGUGGAAUCCUUCUUGGAAUAGGAUUUUUUUUUAAGUUAGCCUCCACGUAUCUAGCUGGCACAGUUAUAAGUUCAAUAGCACCCUUCAGUCUGCUGGGUUAUUUGGCAGGUUGUUUUCCAAAUUUUUUUCAUUAUAUUCGCCUGUCGGUAUUAUACCUUAGAGCUAAAACAAUAGGAUUCGCAAACAUACUAAAUUCCAUAAUGAGCCCGCUUAUUCAUUAUUCAAUGUUGCCUGUGUGAGCUUUAUCCAUAAUUUACAAGCUGUUAUCAAAUUAUCGGUAAACAAAAAAAGAAAAAGAAAAAAUGUAAGCUCUGAAAUAAAAUCAAAUCAAAAACACAUUUCCA